UACGGGGGGAGCAAGCGUUGUUCGGAUUCAUUGGGCGUAAAGGGUGCGUAGGCGGCGCGGUAAGUCGGGUGUGAAAUCUCGGAGCUUAACUCCGAAACUGCAUUCGAUACUGCCGUGCUUGAGGACUGGAGAGGAGACUGGAAUUUACGGUGUAGCGGUGAAAUGCGUAGAUAUCGUAAGGAAGACCAGUGGCGAAGGCGGGUCUCUGGACAGUUCCUGACGCUGAGGCACGAAGGUCAGGGGAGCAAACGGGG
rnacentral:rRNA from 1 species